UACGUAGGGUGCAAGCGUUUGUCCGGAAUUAUUGGGCGUAAAGAGCUCGUAGGCGGUCUGUCGCGUCUGCUGUGAAAACUCAGGGCUUAACCCUGAGCUUGCAGUGGGUACGGGCAGACUAGAGUGCGGUAGGGGAGACUGGAAUUCCUGGUGUAGCGGUGAAAUGCGCAGAUAUCAGGAGGAACACCGGUGGCGAAGGCGGGGUCUCUGGGCCGUAACUGACGCUGGAGGAGCGAAAGCAUGGGGAGCGAACAGG
rnacentral:rRNA from 1 species